rnacentral:lncRNA from 1 species
AUGACUGUUUCUGGAACUGUUUGUCUCAGUUCCUGUUUUUCUAUUUUAUCAAGGCCACUUUUAUGGCGGCUCACGGCCGCUCCCUUCACCUGGGUCGAGCCAGGAGUUGGAACUCCGUGCAGAUCUCCCACAGGAGUGGCAGAAACCACCCCCCCACCCCGCCUCCUGGACUCUUCACUGGUGGGAAGCUGCAGGCAGACGCUGAGACUCAACCCCACGACACGCUGGGGGAUCCUUGCAUCCCUGGAGGAAGAGGAUUCAGACAAGAGACAGAGCUCCUUUUCUUUUGGUUCUAUAGGAAAUGCCUCAAGAUUUUAUCAAAGAGACCUGGCCCAGCAGCCUGGCAUUUUCUUCAGUGAAACCCAUCCUGGAAUCUCUGAGAGGCGGCUGAGGAAGAGAGGGAAGGGAAAGCAGAGUGGACAGUGUGUGUGUGUGUGUGUGUGUGAGAGAGAGAGAGAGAGAGAGAGAGAGAGAGAGAGAGAUCUAUCUGCUGGUUCACUCCCCAAAUGGUCGCACAGCUAGGGCUGGUCCAGGCUGAAGCCAAGAGCCUGGAACUCCAUCCAGAUCUCCCACAUGAGCAGCAGGGAUCCAGUUUCUUGAUCCAUUACCUAUGCCUCUCGGGCACGUUAGCAAGAAACUGGAUCAGAAAUGGAGGCUGGACUCUAUCCUGGGCGUCCUGAGACGGGAUUCAGGUGUCCCGAGUGGUGGCUUCACCUGCUCUGCCACAAUAUCCACCCCUACUUGUCUCGAUUCUAAUUCUUGGAGCAACUAUUCCUUUUUCCUUGUGAACAUUAUUUAAAACAGCAAUAUCAAGGGGCCGGCACUGCGGUGCAGCGGGUUAACGCCCUGGCCUGAAGCGCCAGUGUCCCAUAUGGGCACCGGUUCUAGUCCCAGCUGCUCCACUGCCCAUCCAGCUCCCUGCUAUGGCCUGGGAAAGCAGUAGAAGAUGGCCCAAGUCCUUGGGUCCCUGCACCCACAUGGGAGACCUGGAAGAAGCUCCUGGCUCCUGGUUUCGGAUCAGUGCAGCACCAGCCGUUGCAGCCAAUUGGGGAGUGAAGCAGCGGAGGGAAGACCUCUCUCUCUCUCUCUCUCUGCCUCUCCUCUCUCUGUAACUCUUGACUUUCAAAUAAAAUAAAUCUUUUUUUAAAAAAAGAGAGAUAA